UACGGAGGGGGCAAGCGUUGUUCGGAAUUAUUGGGCGUAAAGAGUAUGUAGGCGGCUAUUUAAGUCAGGCGUGCAAGCCCACGGCUCAACCGUGGAAUUGCGUUUGAAACUAUUUAGCUUGAGUACAGGAGAGGAAGGCGGAAUUCCCAGUGUAGCGGUGAAAUGCAUUGAUAUUGGGAAGAACACCGGUGGCGAAGGCGGCACUCUGGGCCGGUACUGACGCUGAGGAGCGAAAGCAUGGGGAGCAAACAGG
rnacentral:rRNA from 1 species